CAGCAUUUAAACUGCCCGGCUUCUUGUCUAGUCACAGGAAGGCUAAUUUUAUCAGUUUUAUACCACAGAAUUACAGUACUGACCAAGAAUUAUUUGUUAGACCAGGGGGUCUAGGUCCCACAGAGAUGAAUCCUGUACUAUUUGUUUUACUGCUUACAUUGCACAACAGAAGAUAUGUAGAUCAGAAAGAAGUACAUUUUCCACAUGCAAAUAAGGUCACUAUAUUUCUCUAAAUUUUAUAAAUUGCAUCUGUUUUGUUUUUAAGUACAGGUCAAGUGAAGUUCUUCUGCUGAUAUGUUCUGCUACUGCAUAAGAGACGGAAUCUAUGUUGCCUCGACUGGUCCUGAACUCCUGGGCUAAAGCGAUCCUUCUGCCUUGGCCUCCCAAAGUGCGAGGAUUAUAGGUGUGAGCCACCCAACCUGGCCUUUGCCAGUAUUUUUAAAUCCAAACACCUAUGCAUGGUGCUUACUAAUAACACAGUGGUAUUCUAAACAUUUUUCACCUAUUAUUUAAUCUUUAUUAUUAUCACCAUGUUACAGAUAAGGACCCUGGCUAAAUAGCUUACCCAACAUUACUCCGUUAAUA
rnacentral:lncRNA from 1 species